UGGGGAAUCUUGCGCAAUGGACGAAAGUCUGACGCAGCGACGCCGCGUGGGUGACGAAGGCCUUCGGGUUGUAAAGCCCUGUGGGGUGAGACGAACAGCUUCUGGUCAAAUAGGCCAGGGGUCUGACGGUAUCGCCUUAGCAAGCACCGGCUAACUCUGUGCCAGCAGCCGCGGUAAUACAGAGGGUGCAAACGUUGCUCGGAAUUACUGGGCGUAAAGCGCGUGUAGGCGGUUUUAUAAGUCCAACGUGAAAGCCUGGGGCUCAACCCCAGAAGUGCGUAGGAUACUGUGAAGCUGGAGUCCUGAAGAGGAGAGCGGAAUUCCCGGUGUAGAGGUGAAAUUCGUAGAUAUCGGGAGGAACACCUGUGGCGAAGGCGGCUCUCUGGGCAGGUACUGACGC
rnacentral:rRNA from 1 species